rnacentral:rRNA from 1 species
CCUACGGGUGGCUGCAGUGAGGAAUAUUGGUCAAUGGCCGUAAGGCUGAACCAGCCAAGUAGCGUGAGGGAAGACUGCCCUAUGGGUUGUAAACCUCUUUUAUGCGGGGAUAAAGGUGUCCACGUGUGGAUGUUUGCAGGUACCGCGUGAAUAAGGACUGGCUAAUUCCGUGCCCGCAGCCGCGGUAAUACGGAAGGUUCGGGCGUUAUCCGGAUUUUUUGGGUUUAACGGGAGCGUUGGCCGGUAUGUAAGCGUGCCGUGAAAUUUUGUGGGCCAACCAUGAGCGUGCGGUGGGAACUGGAGUCCUUGAGGGCGCGGAAGGCAGGCGGAAUUCGUGGUGUAGCGGUGAAAUGCUUAGAUAUCACGAAGAACCCCGAUUGCGAAGGCAGCCUGCCGCCGCGUUACUGACGCUGAAGCUCGAAAGCGCGGGGAUCGAACAGGAUUAGAUACCCGGGUAGUC